UGUGGUCGGAGAAUUUUUGGAGAAUUGGUGUUGUAUCAACCAUUUUGCAACUUGCACACCAAAUGUUUGGUAAAAUUCCUUAACCAAGUUUCUUUUCUUUUCUGUUUCGGUUUCUUGUGAUUAAGAUGCUGAAUUGUUGUGCUAUUGGUGAUGAUUGUUGUGAGGUGAACUCUUGUGAUGCAAUAUUUGUUGUUCAAACUCUAACCUCCUCCCUUUUUG
rnacentral:lncRNA from 1 species